GACGAACGCUGGCGGCGUGCUUAACACAUGCAAGUCGAACGGAAAGGCCCUGCUUUUGUGGGGUGCUCGAGUGGCGAACGGGUGAGUAACACGUGAGUAACCUGCCCUUGACGUUGGGAUAACUUCAGGAAACUGGGGCUAAUACCGGAUAGGAGCUCCUGCUGCAUGGUGGGGGUUGGAAAGUUUCGGCGGUUGGGGAUGGACUCGCGGCUUAUCAGCUUGUUGGUGGGGUAGUGGCUUACCAAGGCUUUGACGGGUAGCCGGCCUGAGAGGGUGACCGGCCACAUUGGGACUGAGAUACAGCCCCGACUCCUACGGGAGGCAGCAGUGGGGAAUAUUGCACAAUGGGCGGAAGCCUGAUGCAGCAACGCCGCGUGCGGGAUGACGGCCUUCUGGUUGUAAACCGCUUUCGCCUGUGACGAAGCGUGAGUGACGGUAAUGGGUAAAGAAGCACCGGCUAACUACGUG
rnacentral:rRNA from 1 species